AUUUAUUCUCAGGGCGGGGCGAAAUUCCCCACCGGCGGUAUUCCCUUCAAAGUUUAGGGUGAGCCCGCGAGCGCUCGAUACGUCGAGGUCAGCAGAUCUGGUGAAAACCCAGAGCCGACGGUUAAAGUCCGGAUGAGAGAGAAUGAAA
rnacentral:ncRNA from 2 species